rnacentral:rRNA from 1 species
UGAAUCUAAAAACUUAACUUAUAACAACUCUCAGACAACGGAUAUCUUGGCUCUUGCAACAAUGAAGAACGCAGCGAAAUGCGAUACGUAGUGUGAAUUGCAGAAUUCCGCGAAUCAUCGAGUUUUUGAACGCAAGUUGCGCCCGAGGCUUGUCGGAGGG